AAAUUGAAGAGUUUGAUCAUGGCUCAGAUUGAACGCUGGCGGCAGGCCUAACACAUGCAAGUCGAACGGUAGCACAGAGGAGCUUGCUCCUUGGGUGACGAGUGGCGGACGGGUGAGUAAUGUCUGGGAAACUGCCCGAUGGAGGGGGAUAACUACUGGAAACGGUAGCUAAUACCGCAUAACGUCGCAAGACCAAAGAGGGGGACCUUCGGGCCUCUUGCCAUCGGAUGUGCCCAGAUGGGAUUAGCUAGUAGGUGGGGUAACGGCUCACCUAGGCGACGAUCCCUAGCUGGUCUGAGAGGAUGACCAGCCACACUGGAACUGAGACACGGUCCAGACUCCUACGGGAGGCAGCAGUGGGGAAUAUUGCACAAUGGGCGCAAGCCUGAUGCAGCCAUGCCGCGUGUAUGAAGAAGGCCUUCGGGUUGUAAAGUACUUUCAGCGAGGAGGAAG
rnacentral:rRNA from 1 species